GUUUCCUCUGUGAAUAGAUUGAUUCUUUCUCUCAAUCUACUAAUACUUUGUACAUCAUCAGUUUAUAUUAAAUUUUUCUAACUCCUUAACACUCUGCAUUACAUUAUCUUUGCUGUAGUAUCAGCAUUUUUAUAUAUUGUGCGGUACUUUUAAAUCAAAAGUGCUGCCGCAAAUUGUUGCACGCACGUGGUCGAAAGCCGGUUUCUGCAAUGGAAGCCCCUCAGCUGCCGCAAUUAGUUGCACACACGUGGUCGGAGGCCGGUUUAUGCCAUGGAAGACACUCAGUUGCAGGACUCGCGGGCAGGCCAAGGCUAAGGAAUUCAAUUUGAUAAACUAAGUAAUGAGCUUCACUGAGAUCCGUUGAAAUUGGCAGUUUUAUAGGCGAUCAUGAGCCUGCUUUGCUGCAAAUGAAACAAGAUGUUCGCAUUGAUGAAGGAGUUUCUUCAAUGAGGCCUCAGUCCGUCGGACAAAAGGAUUCUCGUUAGUGUAUCUAUGACGGAAGGAAGUGUCGCGAUGAAGGUUCUACUUCAAGUCUGCAUCAAGUUGCCGGAUAUUCAUUGUUGAUCUUCGCUUUAAUGGACGAAUCCAAAGCUUUGAGCUUUGACUGCUUUCCUGUCGAGUUGUAGCAAUCGGAUUAAACCUUUGCAAGGUCACUUUCUGCUUCCAAUUGUUGCUGUUUACGACAUCCAGAGAAACUCCGCAGAGAGAUGCGCUGUGAACGGACCACGAUUAUAAAAUUAAUUUAUAUAGUUUAAAAUUCUGCUGAAUAAAAAGAAUGAAACCAAA